GGCGCUAUCGUCUAGAGGCCUAGGAUAUCACCCUCUCAAGGUGGGGACACGGGUUCGAAUCCCGUUAGCGCCA
rnacentral:tRNA from 1 species